AGCGAACGCUGGCGGCAGGCCUAACACAUGCAAGUCGAACGAAGUCUUCGGACUUAGUGGCGGACGGGUGAGUAACACGUGGGAACGUGCCUUUAGGUUCGGAAUAACUCAGGGAAACUUGUGCUAAUACCGAAUGUGCCCUUCGGGGGAAAGAUUUAUCGCCUUUAGAGCGGCCCGCGUCUGAUUAGCUAGUUGGUGAGGUAAAGGCUCACCAAGGCUACGAUCAGUAGCUGGUCUGAGAGGAUGACCAGCCACAUUGGGACUGAGACACGGCCCAAACUCCUACGGGAGGCAGCAGUGGGGAAUCCUGCGCAAUGGGCGAAAGCCUGACGCAGCCAUGCCGCGUGGAUGAUGAAGGUCUUAGGAUUGUAAAAUCCUUUCACCGGUGAAGAUAAUGACUGUAGCCGGAGAAGAAGCCCCGGCUAACUUCGUGCCAGCCGCCGCAGUAAGAC
rnacentral:rRNA from 1 species